GCGUAACAGAGUGAACAGCAUCAGAGUGGGUGUUCAAGAAUAGUCUCUGUAGAGUGACCGCAUGAGGAUAAGAAGUCAGCAAGAGGACAAGGAGCCAGCAAGAGGAGAUGCUUGGGAGGCCAGCCUUGGAAGGACUGAAGACAGAAGAGCUGCAGGCAGAGUUUGCCUUUUACUUGCCACAGUGGACGCAUGCUUGUGGUGAAAGGGCUCCAGGACCGCUUGGCUGGGAUGGUAACGCAGCGCACAGUGGCGGAGAGCUCAGAGACUAGGCCUGUCUGGAGGGUCCUGUAUGUGAGCUGAUCAUCCACCUCACAGCAGCCUUUCAGCUAUCACCCUCAUUUUACAGGUGUUGCUGUGCAGCCCAGGCUGCCCUCCGACUCACAGAGACCCUCCUGCCUCAGCCCCUCCCGGAGUGCUGGGAUUGCAGAGGCCCUGGAUGAACCUGUCUGUGCUGAUGUCUAAACUGGCUCCUCCCAAGUGCUCGCCAUGGGUCUGACUGUCCUGCUCUGAUCCAGGAGCUUCUCACCAGACCUUCUGCAGAGGAGAAUGGAGCCAUAAAGGCAGCCAGAAAGGGGUCUCCCUUCUUCUUUCUCUGGGGUCUGUGCGACUUUUCAGUAGAACCUGGAUGAUCUCCCUUAAGGGAACAUAAUGCCAUUAGAUUCAGAGGUGCAAUUGGACAUAAAAAAGUUACCUUUCCAAAGGAAAUCCAAUUACUUCCCACUGGCAAUCUGUACUGCACUCUGCAUGAAGUGCUGUGAAACUGUGUAACAGAAACAUGUGCGAUGCCUUUGUGAAGGUGAGCAGACCUGGAGAAGGGACUCAGCAGUCUGCUGAUGAGUCCAGUUGCUUAGUAUCACUGGAGCCCGACUACUGCUAGCUUACAAAUGUUUUGGAAGAUGUCGAAUCACCCCGCUGCAGACAGGCAGGUCUGCCCAUGCCCUACCAAGGUCCUGAGUCUCACAGAACAUGCCGAAUCAGCCCGCUGCAGACAGGCAGGUCUGCCCACGCCCUACCGAGGUCCCCAGGAGCGUGGAAUACACCGAAACAGCCCGCUGCACCCAGGAAGUUCUGUGCACGUCCUACCGAGGUCCUGAGUCCCGCAGAAGACACCGAAUCACCCCGCUACAGACCGGCAGCCACCUGGUUCCACACUACAAAGACGCAGAAGAAACCAGACCACCAGACCAAGGUACUGAGUCCCGCUGCUCCCGGCCCAGAGGUAGGAGCUUCUGAGCCGUCGUCCCACUUCUCCUGGUCCAGAGGAAGGGGCUUCCCGGUCACAAUCCCUCCCGCUGCUCCCAACCCAGAGGAAAGGGCUUUUGGGCCACCUUCUGUCCUGCUGCUCCUGGCCCAGAGGAAGGGGCUUCCAGGCCACCAUCCCUCCCACUGCUCCCGGCCCAGAGGGAGGGGCUUCUGAGCCACCAUCCCAAUGCUCCUGGUCCAGAGGAAGGGGUUUCCCAGCCACCAUCCCUCUGGCUGCUCCCAGCCCACAGGAAAGGGCUUUUGGGUCACCAUCCCUACUGCUGCUCCUGGCCCCUGUCCCACCUCACCCAGCUCAGAGGAGGUAAUCCAUGCAGGCACUAACAGCGCCCCCCCGGCCCAGUCGAAAUGAGAAAACAUGUAAAUAAGUCUCAAAACCAGACAUCCAGAUCACCUACAGCAACCCCAAAGGGAAAUGAGAUGGAACACUCUGAUACUCAACCACCUGGACCCAGUGAACUGGCAACAAAAGGGGAUCUGGAAAAAAUGAAAUCAGAAAUAAUUUCUCAGAUAACAGGAGAAAUUGUGCCCCUAGUGCAAGACAUGAUUAAUAAAUCUAGAGAGGAGCUCAGGAACAUGAUGGAAUCCCAACAUAAGAAGCAAAUGGAAUCCAUAAAACAGAUGCAAAUAGAUUUCCAGGACAUGAAAAACUCCAUUGAAAGUCUACACAGCAGAAUGAGCCAAUGUGAGGAUAGAAUUUCAGAUAUAGAAGAUAAGAUUGCAAUUAGUGACCAGGAAAAGAAAAAUUGCUUCAAAAUUAUAAGGGAACAUGAGAAAUCAAUCCAGCAGCUGCUAGAUGAUGCAAAGAAGAAUAACAUAAGACUGAUUGGAGUCAAUGAAGAAAAUGGAGAGAGUGCAGAUGACAUAAAAAAAAACUCUUCACAGAAAUAAUGGCAGAAAACUUCCCAAGCAGGGGAAAAGAGCUUGACAUACACAUAAGUGAGGCAUAUAGGACCCCAAAGAGCCUUGAUCAAAAAAAAAAUCUACACAUAGGCAUAUAAUUGUUAAGAUUCCAGAAACACAACAGAAGAACAAAGUUCUCCAAGCAGUCAGAGCAAAGAAACAAAUCACAUACAAAGGAAAGCCCAUCAGAAUCACAGCAGACUUCUCAACACAAACCAUCAAGGCAAGAAGAGCUUGGAG
rnacentral:lncRNA from 1 species